rnacentral:rRNA from 2 species
AAUCCAUAGGUUAAUGAGGCGAACCGGGGGAACUGAAACAUCUAAGUACCCCGAGGAAAAGAAAUCAACCGAGAUUCCCCCAGUAGCGGCGAGCGAACGGGGAGGAGCCCAGAGCCUGAAUCAGCAUGUGUGUUAGUGGAAGCGUCUGGAAAGGCGCGCGAUACAGGGUGACAGCCCCGUACACAAAAGCGCAUGUGCUGUGAGCUCGAUGAGUAGGGCGGGACACGUGGUAUCCUGUCUGAAUAUGGGGGGACCAUCCUCCAAGGCUAAAUACUCCUGACUGACCGAUAGUGAACCAGUACCGUGAGGGAAAGGCGAAAAGAACCCCGGCGAGGGGAGUGAAAAAGAACCUGAAACCGUGUACGUACAAGCAGUGGGAGCCCC